CCUACGGGAGGCAGCAGUGGGGAAUAUUGGACAAUGGGCGAAAGCCUGAUCCAGCAAUGCCGCGUGAGUGAUGAAGGCCUUCGGGUCGUAAAGCUCUUUUACCAGGGAUGAUAAUGACAGUACCUGGAGAAUAAGCUCCGGCUAACUCCGUGCCAGCAGCCGCGGUAAUACGGAGGGAGCUAGCGUUGUUCGGAAUUACUGGGCGUAAAGAGUACGUAGGCGGUUAUUCAAGUCAGAGGUGAAAGCCCGGGGCUCAACCCCGGAACUGCCUUUGAAACUAGAUAACUAGAGUCUUGGAGAGGUUAGUGGAAUUCCGAGUGUAGAGGUGAAAUUCGUAGAUAUUCGGAAGAACACCAGUGGCGAAGGCGACUAACUGGACAAGUACUGACGCUGAGGUACGAAAGCGUGGGGGGCAAACAGGAUUAGAUACCCUGUAGUCCACGCCGUAAACGAUGAUAACUAGUUGUUCGGUCACUUGGUGACUGAGUGACGCAGCUAACGCAUUAAGUUAUCGCCUGGGGAGUACGGUCGCAAGNUUAAACUAUAGAUAUGCGNGNGNGNGCGACGACGACGACGAGAGGAG
rnacentral:rRNA from 1 species